GAUGAACGCUGGCGGCGUGCCUAAUACAUGCAAGUCGAGCGAACAGACGAGGAGCUUGCUCCUCUGACGUUAGCGGCGGACGGGUGAGUGACACGUGGAUAACCUACCUAUAAGACUGGGAUAACUUCGGGAAACCGGAGCUAAUACCGGAUAAUAUAUUGAACCGCAUGGUUCAAUAGUGAAAGACGGUUUUGCUGUCACUUAUAGAUGGAUCCGCGCCGCAUUAGAUAGUUGGUAAGGUAACGGCUUACCAAGGCAACGAUGCGUAGCCGACCUGAGAGGGUGAUCGGCCACACUGGAACGGAGACGCGGUCCAGACUCCUACGGGAGGCAGCAGUAGGGAAUCUUCCGCAAUGGGCGAAAGCCUGACGGAGCAACGCGGCGUGAGUGAUGAAGGUCUUCGGAUCGUAAAACUCUGUUAUUAGGGAAGAACAAAUGUGUAAGUAACUAUGCACGUCUUGACGGUACCUAAUCAGAAAGCCACGGCUAACUACGUG
rnacentral:rRNA from 1 species